ACGGGUGAGUAACGCGUGGGAACGUGCCUUUCGGUUCGGAAUAACUCAGGGAAACUUGAGCUAAUACCGGAUACGCCCUUCGGGGGAAAGAUUUAUUGCCGAAAGAUCGGCCCGCGUCCGAUUAGCUAGUUGGUGAGGUAAUGGCUCACCAAGGCGACGAUCGGUAGCUGGUCUGAGAGGAUGAUCAGCCACACUGGGACUGAGACACGGCCCAGACUCCUACGGGAGGCAGCAGUGGGGAAUAUUGGACAAUGGGCGCAAGCCUGAUCCAGCCAUGCCGCGUGAGUGAUGAAGGCCCUAGGGUUGUAAAGCUCUUUCGCCAGGGACGAUAAUGACGGUACCUGGAUAAGAAGCCCCGGCUAACUUCGUGCCAGCAGCCGCGGUAAUACGAAGGGGGCUAGCGUUGUUCGGAAUCACUGGGCGUAAAGCGCACGUAGGCGGAUUGUUAAGUCAGGGGUGAAAUCCCGAGGCUCAACCUCGGAACUGCCUUUGAUACUGGCGAUCUAGAGUCCGGGAGAGGUGAGUGGAACUGCGAGU
rnacentral:rRNA from 1 species